CAUAUGCUUGUCUCAAAGAUUAAGCCAUGCAUGUCUGAGUACAGACCGAUCUAAGGUGAAACCGCGAAUGGCUCAUUAAAUCAGUCAUAAUUCCUUGGAUAGUGAAAAACUUUCCUCGGAUAACUGUGGAAAAUCCAGAGCUAAUACGUGCAACUGAGCUCCGACCUCGGCGUGAGUCGUGGGAAGAGCGCAUUUGUUAGAUUCAAAACUGACCGGUGUACUCCUUCGGGAUACGCCGUUUGUUAAAUUUUGAUGACUCAGGACAACUUAGCCGAGCGCUACGGUCAUUAGUACCGGCGCCGUAUCUUUCAAGUGUCUGCCUUAUCAGCUUUCGAUUGUAGGUUAAACGCCUACAAUGGCUGUAACGGGUAACGGGGAAUCAGGGUUCGAUUCCGGAGAGGGAGCCUGAGAAACGGCUACCACAUCUAAGGAAGGCAGCAGGCACGCAAAUUACCCACUCCCAGCCCGGGGAGGUAGUGACGAAAAAUAACGAUGCGAGACUCUUCCGAGGCCUCGCAAUCGGAAUGAGUCCAUUUUAAAUCCUUGGACGAGGAUCCAUUGGAGGGCAAGUCUGGUGCCAGCAGCCGCGGUAAUUCCAGCUCCAAUAGCGUAUAUUAAAGUUGCUGCGGUUAAAAAGCUCGUAGUUGGAUCUCCUAGAUCCAUUUCGUGGGCGAGUCGCUCUUUGUACUAKCGUCUCGUGCGGUUCCUUGACKAAGUCGUCGAGAGUGUGGUGUUGGUGCGUGUGUAUUUCUUUUUCGGCUUUAUGGUCGUUCUAGAGAUUGCGCUCGCGCUCGCCCGCGUCUUGGCGUUACCGAGUCUCGUGGGCGGCGAGGCGUUGUCUUAGAGUAUAGCUUGUCCGCGUUUGGUACAAUUAAAUUUUUGUUGGCUCGCUCGGAGUGCUCUUUACCGAGUGUUCCAGGGUGGCUGACACGUUCACUUUGAAAAAAUUAGAGUGCUUAAAGCGGGCUUAUUUACGGCCUGAAUGUCUGUGCAUGGAAUGAAGUAACAGGACCUCGAUUCUGUUGUUUUUGUCGGUUUUAAUGAACCGAGGUAAUGAUUAAAAGGGACAGACGGUGGCAUUAGUAUUGCGACGCUAGAGGUGAAAUUCUUGGACCGUCGCAAGACUAACUACUGCGAAAGCGUUUGCCGAGAAUGUUUUCAUUAAUCAAGAACGAAAGUUAGAGGAUCGAAGGCGAUCAGAUACCGCCCUAGUUCUAACCCUAAACUAUGCUAACUAGCGAUCCGCCGGAGUCAUUCCCACGACCCGGCGGGAAGCCCCAGGKAAACCAAAGUCUUUGAGUUCCGGGGGAAGUAUGGUUGCAAAGCUGAAACUUAAAGGAAUUGACGGAAGGGCACCACCAGGAGUGGAGCCUGCGGCUUAAUUUGACUCAACACGGGAAACCUCACCAGGCCCGGACAUCAUAAGGAUUGACAGGUUGAGAGCUCUUUCUCGAUUUGAUGGGUGGUGGUGCAUGGCCGUUCUUAGUUGGUGGAGUGAUCUGUCUGGUUGAUUCCGAUAACGAACGAGACUCUACCCUACUAACUAGUCGGCGGAUCGUAACCCUGAGAUGGUUAGUUUGUAUAGUAGAGUUUUGCCAAAGCAAAGUCCGCUAUCGACGGAGGUUAUAGCUCUGUAGUUAUUCUUAAGAGUUGUGCUUCUAGAGGUUGUGUGGCUUUGUCUAAAAGCGGCUCUAUGAUUACUACUACUGCUGGGGGCGUUCGUCGUAAUGUAUCUUCUUAGAGGGAUCAGCGGCGUAUAGCCGCACGAGAAAGAGCAAUAACAGGUCUGUGAUGCCCUUAGAUGUUCUGGGCCGCACGCGCGCUACAAUGUAGGGCUCAGCGUGCUUUCCCUCUCCGAAAGGAGCGGGUAACCCGUUGAAACCCCUACCCGAUUGGGAUUGGGGAUUGCAAUUAUUUCCCAUAAACGAGGAAUUCCCAGUAAGCGCGAGUCACUAGCUCGCGCUGAUUACGUCCCUGCCCUUUGUACACACCGCCCGUCGCUACUACCGAUUGAAUGAUUCAGUGAGGGCAUCGGACUGGCCCUUCKKUUUAGUUACCUAGACCUUAGGCUGACGGAAAGAUGUCCGAACUUGAUCAUUUAGAGGAAGUAAAAGUCGUAACAAGGUUUC
rnacentral:rRNA from 1 species